GUCCACGCCGUAACGAUGUCUACUCGGAGUUUGGUGUCUUGAACACUGGGCUCUCAAGCUAACGCAUUAAGUAGACCGCCUGGGAGUACGGCCGCAAGGUUAAACUCAAAUGAAUUGACGGGGCCCGCACAAGCGGUGGAGCAUGUGGUUUAAUUCGAUGCAACGCGAAGAACCUUACCUACUCUUGACAUCCAGAGAAUUCGCUAGAGAUAGCUUAGUGCCUUCGGGAACUCUGAGACAGGUGCUGCAUGGCUGUCGU
rnacentral:rRNA from 1 species